GAUGAACGCUGGCGGCGUGCCUAAUACAUGCAAGUCGAGCGAAUGGAUUAAGAGCUUGCUCUUAUGAAGUUAGCGGCGGACGGGUGAGUAACACGUGGGUAACCUGCCCAUAAGACUGGGAUAACUCCGGGAAACCGGGGCUAAUACCGGAUAACAUUUUGAACCGCAUGGUUCGAAAUUGAAAGGCGGCUUCGGCUGUCACUUAUGGAUGGACCCGCGUCGCAUUAGCUAGUUGGUGAGGUAACGGCUCACCAAGGCAACGAUGCGUAGCCGACCUGAGAGGGUGAUCGGCCACACUGGGACUGGGACACGGCCCAGACUCCUACGGGAGGCAGCAGUAGGGAAUCUUCCGCAAUGGACGAAAGUCUGACGGAGCAACGCCGCGUGAGUGAUGAAGGCUUUCGGGUCGUAAAACUCUGUUGUGAGGGAAGAACAAGUACCGGAGUAACUGCCGGUGCCUUGACGGUACCUCAUUAGAAAGCCACGGCUAACUACGUGCCAGCCGCCGCCGUAA
rnacentral:rRNA from 1 species